rnacentral:rRNA from 2 species
GGGUUGUGAGGUUAAGCGACUAAGCGUACACGGUGGAUGCCCUGGCAGUCAGAGGCGAUGAAGGACGUGCUAAUCUGCGAUAAGCGUCGGUAAGGUGAUAUGAACCGUUAUAACCGGCGAUUUCCGAAUGGGGAAACCCAGUGUGUUUCGACACACUAUCAUUAACUGAAUCCAUAGGUUAAUGAGGCGAACCGGGGGAACUGAAACAUCUAAGUACCCCGAGGAAAAGAAAUCAACCGAGAUUCCCCCAGUAGCGGCGAGCGAACGGGGAGGAGCCCAGAGCCUGAAUCAGUGUGUGUGUUAGUGGAAGCGUCUGGAAAGGCGCGCGAUACAGGGUGACAGCCCCGUACACAAAAAUGCACAUGCUGUGAGCUCGAUGAGUAGGGCGGGACACGUGGUAUCCUGUCUGAAUAUGGGGGGACCAUCCUCCAAGGCUAAAUACUCCUGACUGACCGAUAGUGAACCAGUACCGUGAGGGAAAGGCGAAAAGAACCCCGGCGAGGGGAGUGAAAAAGAACCUGAAACCGUGUACGUACAAGCAGUGGGAGCACAGAGCAAUCUGUGUGACUGCGUACCUUUUGUAUAAUGGGUCAGCGACUUAUAUUCUGUAGCAAGGUUAACCGAAUAGGGGAGCCGAAGGGAAACCGAGUCUUAACUGGGCGUUAAGUUGCAGGGUAUAGACCCGAAACCCGGUGAUCUAGCCAUGGGCAGGUUGAAGGUUGGGUAACACUAACUGGAGGACCGAACCGACUAAUGUUGAAAAAUUAGCGGAUGACUUGUGGCUGGGGGUGAAAGGCCAAUCAAACCGGGAGAUAGCUGGUUCUCCCCGAAAGCUAUUUAGGUAGCGCCUCGUGAAUUCAUCUCCGGGGGUAGAGCACUGUUUCGGCAAGGGGGUCAUCCCGACUUACCAACCCGAUGCAAACUGCGAAUACCGGAGAAUGUUAUCACGGGAGACACACGGCGGGUGCUAACGUCCGUCGUGAAGAGGGAAACAACCCAGACCGCCAGCUAAGGUCCCAAAGUCAUGGUUAAGUGGGAAACGAUGUGGGAAGGCCCAGACAGCCAGGAUGUUGGCUUAGAAGCAGCCAUCAUUUAAAGAAAGCGUAAUAGCUCACUGGUCGAGUCGGCCUGCGCG